UGGAUGAGCAGCUUUUGGGGUCACAGCUGGAGAGACAAGGAUGAGCGAGGACUCCGGGACCACCACCGACUACAAGAAGCGAGCUACAGGAAGGCUUCGCUGCCCUGCCCAUUUCCUGCAUUUCCCAGCAUUGCUCCAUCCGACUGCUACCCUAGAAGACAUUCUCACGAGGACCAGGCAUCCCGAAGAAUGCGGUAUCACAGGAAAUGCUCAGUGGAUGGGUCAUUUCGGGAGCCAAUAGAACCACCAAGAAGAGCUCAUUCCAAAAUGCAGGAAUUUUCAGAAUCCUUUGCACAACACCUGUGCCUUCAAACCAAGUGCUCUCCUGCGGGACCCAAGGGGAGGAAGGAGAGAAAUGAAAGACAUUGCCUAGAGACUAACAUGAGAUCCUACAAGAAAGUGGAGGACAGAAGGACCUCAAUGAAGGAAACACCUGGAGACGAACCCAUGGCUCCUCUGAUUGAAAAGGGGCCUGAAUAAUAAUGCUUUGUUUCAACAUUGCCAAGACAGAUGUCACUGGUUGUUCUGAGACCCAGAACUUCCUGCAGAAUGACAUCUGGAAAGGGUUUUAGCAGAUGCUUAGACUACAGUGGGCAGUUGGAAUGGCUGCUUCUCAAGAUGGCUUGUGUUACACUCAAACUGUCUCUGGCAUCUUGCUUGAGUGUACGAUGUUCCUCUCCUUCUGUGAUAAGAAGAAAUGGUGUUUGAAUAAAAUAAAGGAAUCCCUGACAUU
rnacentral:lncRNA from 1 species